rnacentral:lncRNA from 1 species
GCGGAUGGGACUUCGGUGGACGUGGCCGUGGCCCCGUGGGAUCGCUUUUCUUUCCCAGGGAAGGGCAGGAAGUGGACAGGAACCGGCCUCAUGCGUGGGCCCUGGGACAGCUGGGACCCCUGGCAUGGCCGUGCUCGUCCCUGUCCUGUCUGCCACCGCCCUCGUGGCUGCGAUUUACAGAAUCUCCAGGCGGCAGCUGCUUGCAGCCAGCACGCCGGUGCGAUGGCUCUGAAUUCAUCCCGGGCAGAGCUUCGUCCAAGGGGCGACUGUUUGUAUGAAGACAGACGUGGAUAUGGAUUUCAAGGUGCUGGAUUUGUGCUGACUUGGUCCAAAACCCAGCCGCAUCUGGUUAUGUCUGGUGUCGACGGCUCCAAAAAUGUCCUGAAUUCCAGACAACCUCUUGGGCUUCGAAAUAAAAGUCAUUAAUCCUGCAUUUGAAU